rnacentral:pre_miRNA from 1 species
CUAGUACUCCUUCUGUCUGGAAUUAUUUGUCGAAGAAAUGAAUGUAUCUAGACAUGUUUUAGUUCUUGUUACAACCUUUUUUAUCCAUUUAUGCGACAAGUAAUUCCCUACGGAGGGAAUAAUAU